GUACGCCCUCAAGGUGGUGCACACCGAUGCCGCCCUCCGCUGCCAGGUGUACCGCGAGGUCGACAUCCUCCGCCGUGUGGCUGAAUCCAACCACGUCGUCCGGUUCCACGCCGUCGUCCCCACCCCCUCCGGCGACGUCGCUCUCCUCCUCGAGCACAUGGACGGCGGGUCCCUCGACGCCCUGCUCCGCCGCCGGCCCUUCCCGGAGCCCGCCGUCGCCGCUAUCGCUCGCCAGGCCCUCCUCGGUCUGGCCGAGCUCCACUCCCGCAACAUCGUCCACCGCGAUAUCAAGCCCGCCAACCUCCUCAUCAACGCCGCCGGCGAGGUCAAGAUCGCUGACUUCGGGGUGGGCAAGGUGCUCCGGCGGUCCCUCGACCCCUGUGACUCCUACGUGGGCACGUGCGCCUAUAUGAGUCCGGAGCGGUUCG
rnacentral:lncRNA from 1 species